ACGUCACAGCUACGCCUGCCAGGAGGACUUAUUGGCUGCUGUUUGUUCCCGACAAUCACCAAUGAGAAGCAACAUCCGCUUCGUCUGCUGUCCCCAUUGGUUCAGCAGCUGCCAGUUGCUCUUAUGACCUCUCACCCUCAGGCGGUUUCCGCCAGUAACUGCUAGGGUACUUCCUUCAAGCCUGGCCCCAGGGGACCUCCCGAGUUCGGUCUGGGGCGCCGGUUCCCGUGGGGCGGUGGGACGGGAGUCUUUCUCCUCCGUACUCAUCGUCCUCCGCUCCUCUGUACCUCAUCCCGAAGCAGGAAGCGGCUUUUUCUCCUGCCGGGUUCCAUGCCAUCCCCAGGAGCCCGGCCUCAUCAUAGAUGCUGUCAUCACCUUAGAACACAUUCUCGGCCCUCGGCGGCCACGACCGGUACUCGGGGGCUCACUAUAAAAUCAUGGCUGUCCUUGAAUUCACUAUGUAGACCAGACUGGCCUCAAACAGUGAUCUUCCUGCCUCAGCCUCCCAAGGAGGUAUGUCACCACACCACACUGUAAUUAUAGGUGUGCAUCAUCACACUCAGCAGCAAAUGUAUACUUUUAUCUGCUAAUGUUACUAACUCAUUUUACUUGUGUUCCUGUGGGUAAGAAAGUAUAUUUCUGUUUCCCAUCUUAUACCUGAAAGCUAAGCAGAAGCAGAACUGAUUAGGAUUGGACGUCAUUUAGCUCCUAUGUCUUCCUCUCUGAAAGAAAAUAAUAAUGGAACUGAAUAGAGCAGAGAUUCUUCCACAUAGUUUGUUGAAAAGAACAUUAAUCUAGAAGAUAGGCCACAUGACCUAAGAAAAGGAAAAGUCUCUCAGAGCCUUGGCUUCAUCUAUCUAAUGUCAAGGAUUUUCUUUUUUGUUGUUGUUUAAUGUUGGAUUUGUCUUGCCUGUUUUACUAGGUUGUUUCAAGAAUGGAUACUGUAUGUGAAAAUAUUUUGAAAGCUCUCGAAUAGUGGUAAUGCUAUAAUCAGUCAUAUAAAUACACAUUACUAUGGGAAGGAAUUUUAGAAGUUCUUCAAAUAAACUACCUCUUUAGGCCGGAGGUAUAGCUCAGUGGCACAAGCGCCUACCUGGCAAGCACAAGGUCCUGAAUUUGAUUCCUGGUACCAAAAAAAAAAAAAGCUACCUCUUUAGAGUCAGUUUUCAAGAGUUCUUUCAAUGGAAAAUAAACAGUGAUUACUUCAAAUCUGACAAAGAUUUUUUUGUAAAAGUGAUAUAUCUAACCUAUUCUCAUAUUGGUCAUAAACGUCUCUUUUUGUGUUUUUUGUUUUUUCCUGGUACCAGGAAUUGAACUCACGACCACCUUGCGCUUGCCAGGUAGGUGUCGUGCCGCUGAGCUAAAUCCCCAGCCCUUUGGUCAUAGAUGUCUUUUUAAAGGACCGGGAAUGAUUAACUUACACUUUCCUCAAACAACUCAAGAGUAAAAGGCUUCAUCCUAAUGUGACCUGGAAGCAAUAGUUGAAAUAAAUCGUGUAAAAAAAAAAAAAAAAAAAAAA